rnacentral:rRNA from 1 species
UACGGAGGGUGCGAGCGUUGUCCGGAAUCACUGGGCGUAAAGGGCGCGUAGGUGGCGACGCAAGUCAACGGUGAAAGCUCGACGCUCAACGUCGAGUCGGCCGUCGAGACUGCGUGGCUCGAGCACUGUAGAGGCAGAUGGAAUUCCGGGUGUAGCGGUGGAAUGCGUAGAGAUCCGGAAGAACACCGGUGGCGAAGGCGG